rnacentral:rRNA from 1 species
UACGUAGGCAGCAAGCGUUGUUCGGAGUUACUGGGCGUAAAGCGUGCGCAGGCGGUUAUGUAAGACAGAUGUGAAAUCCCCGGGCUCAACCUGGGAACUGCAUUUGUGACUGCAUAGCUAGAGUACGGUAGAGGGGGAUGGAAUUCCGCGUGUAGCAGUGAAAUGCGUAGAUAUGCGGAGGAACACCGAUGGCGAAGGCAAUCCCCUGGACCUGUACUGACGCUCAUGCACGAAAGCGUGGGGAGCAAACAGG